rnacentral:rRNA from 1 species
ACUCCUACGGGAGGCAGCAGUGGGGAAUUUUGGACAAUGGGCGAAAGCCUGAUCCAGCAAUGCCGCGUGAGUGAAGAAGGCCUUCGGGUUGUAAAGCUCUUUUGUCAGGGAAGAAACGGUGAAAGCUAAUAUCUUUUGCUAAUGACGGUACCUGAAGAAUAAGCACCGGCUAACUACGUGCAAGCAGCCGCGGUAAUACGUAGGGUGCAAGCGUUAAUCGGAAUUACUGGGCGUAAAGCGUGCGCAGGCGGUUUUGUAAGUCUGAUGUGAAAUCCCCGGGCUCAACCUGGGAAUUGCAUUGGAGACUGCAAGGCUAGAAUCUGGCAGAGGGGGGUAGAAUUCCACGUGUAGCAGUGAAAUGCGUAGAUAUGUGGAGGAACACCGAUGGCGAAGGCAGCCCCCUGGGUCAAGAUUGACGCUCAUGCACGAAAGCGUGGGGAGCAAACAGUAUUAGAUACCCCUGUAGUCCCA